CCGUACACCAAAAUGCACAGGCUGUGAACUCGAAGAGUAGGGCGGGACACGUGGUAUCCUGUCUGAAUAUGGGGGGACCAUCCUCCAAGGCUAAAUACUCCUGACUGACCGAUAGUGAACCAGUACCGUGAGGGAAAGGCGAAAAGAACCCCGGCGAGGGGAGUGAAAAAGAACCUGAAACCGUGUACGUACAAGCAGUGGGAGCACCUUCGGGUGUGACUGCGUACCUUUUGUAUAAUGGGUCAGCGACUUA
rnacentral:rRNA from 1 species